GGUAUUCCUGGAGAGCCUGGAAACAAGGAGUGCCUGGGCAAAGAGGAGACAUGGGUCACCUGGGGCCUAAGGGUGUCUUGGGUCGGGCAGGUCGAUGGGGCACUGAUGGGAGUCCAGGACUGGAUGGAAGGCGUGGUCCUCCUGGUUUACGUGGGCUCAAGGGUCAAAGAGGUUUUAAAGGG